AAUGUCUUAAUGGAGCAUCAGGAUUAGAUUUUAAAAGAAGAAAGAAGCAAAAACAGAAAGAUUGGGAUAGUGGCAAGAUAAAAACAGAAAUGAAUACCCCCUAAAGAAGUGUUCUACAGAAAUCAGAAAUCUCAGGCAAUGGUUUUUAAGUCAGGAUCAUGUCAUUGUUUUAGACCCAGGGAAAUAGGACAAUAUACCUAAAGAAAUACUAGUGUAUUCCUUCUUCCCUACAAACUCUCCUUUGGCCUCAUGUUCUGAAGAAUUUGGAUUUUGCAAUGAAAACAGAAUAUACCUGCAAAUAUGGAACACUAACAUAAUAAAAUUCAGUCAUUGUGGUACCCCAUUUAUACCAAAUGUAAGUCUUGUAUUCUGUAGGUGAAUAACCCUUGGCUUUAGUUUAUUUUCCUUUCCUUGUCCGCGACAUUGG
rnacentral:lncRNA from 1 species